rnacentral:rRNA from 1 species
AGUAACGCGUGGGUAACCUGCCUCAUACAGGGGGAUAACAGUUGGAAACGGCUGCUAAUACCGCAUAAGCGCACAGUACCACAUGGUGCAGUGUGAAAAACUCCGGUGGUAUGAGAUGGACCCGCGUCUGAUUAGCUAGUUGGUGAGGUAACGGCCCACCAAGGCAACGAUCAGUAGCCGACCUGAGAGGGUGACCGGCCACAUUGGGACUGAGACACGGCCCAG